AGAACGAACGCUGGCGGCAUGCCUAAUACAUGCAAGUCGAACGAACACUUCGGUGUUAGUGGCGCACGGGUGCGUAACGCGUGGGAAUCUGCCCUUGGGUUCGGAAUAACAGUUGGAAACGACUGCUAAUACCGGAUGAUAUCGAAAGAUCAAAGAUUUAUCGCCCAGGGAUGAGCCCGCGUAGGAUUAGCUAGUUGGUGAGGUAAGCUCACCAAGGCGACGAUCCUAGCUGGUCUGAGAGGAUGACUCAGCCACACGUGGGACUGAGACACCGGCCCAGACCUCCGUAGGGAGCAGCAGUAGGGAUAGUGACAAGUGGGCGACAAGCUAGAUCC
rnacentral:rRNA from 1 species